CCUAGCAAAGAAAAAAAGCCCAUCCUUAGGUGAGCACUAGAGAUGCUGUCAACCAUGUUACCACCCAUCUCUUGAGACUAUGUACCAGCCGAAGACGGAGUUCUAGGAAAGUCAACCAAUUUCAAAGUCACUAUGAAUAUCAAGACCAGUGGGUGGAAACAAAACAAAACAAGACAUUCUAAUCUCAACAGAAUUACUUUAAGGCAGUGCACAAUAAAGCUCAAGAUCACUGUGUGCCCAGAUGGUCUUGUUUGUGUCAAGUACAAAAGCAGCCCUUGUGUGUGACUAAUGAAUCUUCCAAGGCAUUCUGCAGACUGUGUUGUCAGCCAUUUUAAUGGCCUAUUAAGCACAAGAUUGAAUAGAUUAUGCAUGCAGCUGUCCAAAAUAGACCUUGAGUAAUCUGACUGACCAUGUUAGACCUUGUGUGACACAGCAUCCCUUAGGCUGAUAUUAAGAACUCAGACAAGGUGAGAAAAGCCUGUGCUCUAGAAAUGCAGUUCUUUCCAGGACAAAAGAAGCCAACAAAUAUGGAAGACAAAGGUUAGUUGGAUGGAGAGCAUCACCGAACAAGUACUUCACUCAAAGCUCAAUUCUGCUUGUUAAUAACAAUGUGCCCUUGAACAA